rnacentral:rRNA from 1 species
UACAGAGGGGGGCAAGCGUUAUUCGGAAUUAUUGGGCGUAAAGGGCGCGUAGGCGGCUUUGCAAGUGACGGGUGAAAUCCCUCGGCUUAACCGAGGAACUGCCUGUCAAACUGCAUGGCUUGAGACCGGGAGAGGUGAGUGGAAUUCCCAGUGUAGCGGUGAAAUGCGUAGAUAUUGGGAGGAACACCAGUGGCGAAGGCGGCUCACUGGACCGGUACUGACGCUGAGGCGCGAAAGCGUGGGGAGCAAACAGG